GACGAACCGUCCAAACGUUAUUCGGAAUUACUGGGCUUAAAGGGUGCGUAGGCGGCGCGGUAAGUUGGGUGUGAAAUCCCUCGGCUCAACCGAGGAACUGCGCCCAAUACUACCGUGCUCGAGGGAGAUAGAGGUGAGCGGAACUUAGGGUGGAGCGGUGAAAUGCGUUGAUAUCCUAAGGAACACCGGUGGCGAAAGCGGCUCACUGGAUCUCUUCUGACGCUGAGGCACGAAAGCUAGGGUAGCGAACGGG
rnacentral:rRNA from 1 species